AACGGCCGUACCAUGCUGAAUAUACCGGUUCUCGUUAGAUCACCGAAGUCAAGCAUCAUUGGGCGCGGUCAGUACUUGGGUGGGUGACCAUCUGGGAACACCGCGUGCCGUU